ensembl:ncRNA F47F2.7 ncRNA
GCUAGGCGGGUGUGAAGAACACAAUGGUUUACGUCAUACGGUAGCAUUUCAACAUGGUAAAUAUUGGUCGGAAGACUGAGUGCGGCGCCGAAGUUGAAUAGUUGAAUGCAAAAGCUUUAUUGAUUUGAAAUCGAUG